AUAUCCAGUACCCAGGUAGUAGUAUCAUAAAUAGAGAAAUUAUAAGGAGUUAUCAUAUAAGUACUUUGUGAAGCAAUCGAUUGCUUGAUUCUCUUGUUCUUAGGCCUGUUUGGGUCAAGGGUAGCUAUAUAAGCCAAAUAAUUUUUUUUUCAAUGAUCCAGCUUCUUGCGAAAAAUGCAUUCUGCCUGGCUCUUAUCGACUUUUGACUUUUUGCUCUGCUUUGGCUUG
rnacentral:lncRNA from 1 species